CAGUGAGAAGCAGGAUGAAGAGGAGGCAGUGUCUCUGGGCUGAGAUCCACGAACCCUGGGAAUCUGGAGGCAGAGGGUAUUGUUGAGAUGACCAGAAAGAAGCCAGUUGGCCCACAUCUAUUUCAUCAAGUCCCCAGCCCAGUGGAGGUUUGUGCUGCCCUCAGACACCAGUGACCUGGGAUUCCUGCAGUCAAGAGGGAGCUAAUAAUGGUGCCAGGGUCACUUGGGGGAAGAAGCAAGAGCAGGACUUAAGAUCUUUCCCCCAGUCUGAGCUCUUCAUGCCACCGCCAGCUGCUUCUGCCCCGGCUGGAAUCACCAACAUCCCACAGACCCUCCUGGGCAGCUUCAGUUAGGAUGUCUAACUUCAGUUCCUGUUUUUGUUUGUUUGUGG
rnacentral:lncRNA from 1 species